UCCCUGGUGGCUCAGUGGUAAAGCAUCUGCCUGUAAGGCAGGAGAUGCAGGUUCAAUCCCUGGGAA
rnacentral:tRNA from 1 species